UACGUAGGUGACAAGCGUUGUCCGGAUUUACUGGGCGUAAAGAGCGCGCAGGCGGUCGAUCAAGUCGAGUGUGAAAGCCCCCGGCUCAACUGGGGAGGGUCACGCGAUACUGUUCGACUCGAAGGCAGGAGAGGGAAGUGGAAUUCCCGGUGUAGUGGUGAAAUGCGUAGAUAUCGGGAGGAACACCAGUGGCGAAGGCGACUUCCUGGCCUGUUCUUGACGCUGAGGCGCGAAAGCUAGGGUAGCAAACAGG
rnacentral:rRNA from 1 species